GGUGGCUCAUUGGCAGAGUACUUGCCUUGCAUGCAUGAGGCCCUGGGUUCAAUUCCUCAGCACCA
rnacentral:tRNA from 1 species